GGGGAUAUGGCGAAAUCGGUAGACAAAAUCCGUCGACUUUAGCAAUCGUGAGGGUUCAAGUCCCUCUAUCCCCA
rnacentral:tRNA from 1 species